ACAUCUUUCUCGGCCAAUUGGCUUUGAUCGAGUGAAGUUUCUGUUCUUUUCAGUUUAAUAGCUGAAAGCAGCCCAAGGGUUGCCUCCUCUCAAUCUCAAUACUAAAUGCACAGUUGAGUCCUUUUGAAGAUUGUAAUCAUUAAUGGUUCUGCCAUCUUCCAAUUGUUUUCCUGCAUAAAUCAAUCGUUGUUGAUCUGAAGGAAUACCUU
rnacentral:snRNA from 1 species